GUCAGCUAAGCACCAACAACUCCAUCUGCCGGGCGCAUACCACCCGGACGCCCGGCAACUGUGAGGUCGGGGACAGCCCCGGACGCCCUUCCUGCUCUCCCUCCGAGGACCCACAGUGUCACACCGAUUCCCGCGCUUCCCAAGCGGCCCUCCCCAGCGUCGCCGGUCCCCGCGAAAGCGCUCCCCGGCCAGCGGCAGGGGGCGUGGAGCAAAGCCCGGAAGGCUGGCUGGAGAGCGACGCUCCCUCCACUCACCGGCACCCUAGGAAGACAUGGUUCGCCCAGGCCAUGGAGAAGGAGACCAGCUGCUGGAGCUGCCGAGUGCGGGCUCCGCUCUCCGCGUCCGCAGUCUCGUCGGUGGCGGGGACCAGGUCCCCGGCAUUGCGAAGCAGAAACUCCCGGCGGUGGCGCCAGUGUUUGUCCGUCUCGCCCUCGCAGCGCAGCGUCUCCACCCAGGCGGCUACCCGCGGGUUUUGGCUCAGGUACUCGGACACCUCCUGCGCCAUGUUGGGGACCCUGCGGGACGGGGAGAGCGCAAGCGCACGGAGCCCCGGGGGCGAAGCGGCCCUGUGUCAGCGCGGCCUGCACCGGCGGCCCUCCCGAGAACGCCCCUCCAGGAGCCCAAACCCCAAACAACAGAACAAGGCGCCGACGAACCGCCCACUUCCGCCGGCCACCGCCUCGCUCCCUUUUAUAACCUCGCCGCCGCCGCUGCCGCCGCGCGCACACGCGACCUUCCGGCGCGAGCGCGUCCUCCCAGGAUGCUUUGCAGCGCCCAGUCGCCAGCGACUCGCUCGGCGGUCGCGCCGGCGGAGGCGGGGCCGAGGCGACUUCAGCGGCCAGCGGCCCUCCCCGCCCUCGGCGCCUAGGGGCGGCCGCUGGGGCGUUCCGCCGGCGCUUUGUGACGCCGCGCUCCGGGGGGCCGGGAGAGGGGGGCGGUGGGACAAAGCGGGCGGAGCGCGGAGACCUGGAGGCGUCCGAGUUGCCGCCCCGCCCCUCCUGCGCGUUCCGCCCUCGGACGCUCGCGGUCGCACGCGGCCAAAAUAAACAAAAGCUGGCUUCCGCGCCUGCGCCCUGCCGCGAAAGCCGCUGAACCCUUGGGCCCGAGGCUCGGAAGGUCUCCGGGCGUUUGGGGACCUGCGGAUGCCUUGUGGGAUGGGGACAAUAAAAGUACCGAGCACGGUUGUAACUUAACGACGAGCACAAGCGGCUCCUCCAGUUGGAUCUAACCGGCUCUUUGAAACCAGGCCUUUGCGCUUGCGCCCCACGAUCUGGCUGGGUUUCCGCGGUUUCUUAAGUUCCUGGUUCAACCCGCUUCCUCUCCCUUAACGCUUUUGGUCCCCGAACUAUAAAUGACCCCGUGCCAACUGGUUUUAACUGUUAAUCCCGGUUGGACCAAAAUGGAAAUGUAUCUGCUUAUCUCGUCCUGGCCUCAGUCCUCAAGAGCAACUGCUUCUGCAUUUGUUUUGUUUUGUUUUAUGAGUUCGAUUUUUUGCUUGCAUGUGUGUCUGUGCUACAUGUGUGGGCCUGGUGCCCUUGGAGGCAAGAGAGCAAUGGCUCUCCUGGAGUUGAGUUGACCCAGGAUUUUGAGCGCCCUGUGGGUGCUGGGAAUUGAACCCAGCGCCCUGUGGGUGCUGGAGGUCUUCUCUAAGAUCUCGUACUACUGAGCCAUCUCUCCAACCCAUGGAUUUUUUUUUCUGGCGUGUUUAUUAACAUUUCCAAGUCUAGGUAUGUGUCAAUAAAUCAAAGGAUCAAUG
rnacentral:lncRNA from 1 species